CCACCGCCCCACCGCGCGCCGCCUCCUGGGGCCGCUCUCGGCUGCGCGCCCGUCGGGACUAACCGGACGUCUGCGAGAAGGGGUGCUUCAAGGGCCUCUCCCGCGUGCCUGGCGCCCACCUUUGGCCCUGAGGGUCGAGUGGGGAGCCCCACGACCCUCUUACAGCCUUCCAGAUGCACGGACUGGGAAACUGGGGCUCAGAGAGGUCAAGUGGCUCGCCCAAGGUCACCCAGCGAGUGAUCCUGGGAAGAGGGGACAAGGGUCGAGCUGGAGCUGGGAAGGGCGCCCCAGUUCGCCCCAGCCGCGCUCUGAGGAAAAGCAGCGGGACCGUCCUGCUCUCUAAAGCUCCGUGGACUUCUUUAAGUUAUGUCGCGUUGCUGUCCCCUCGUAUUUACAAGAGAGUAAGGCAGGGGCGCCGUACUUUCUCCUCUCCUGAGCUCAGAGGGCCAACCUCCUGCGAUCCGCCAGCUCAGAGUCUCAACUUGCAAGAAGCAGAAAAAUGACACAGUUAAAAGCAAGGCCUCUGGGAUUAAACAGCCUGGAUUUGGAAUCAUGGCUGUGCUGCUCACUAGCUGUGACCUUGGGCAAGUUUCUUCACCUCAGGGUCCUCAUCUGUCAAGUGGAGAUGACAACAGAACCUAUUUCAUAAGAAGGCUAUCCUCUGGGCCUUCUGAGCCUCCCUCGCCUUCGCUUCAACUGUAACUCCAGGGACGCUGGGCAAACACCCAUCUGUGGACUCCUCGCUGCUGGACAUGGUGCUUCGCCCCAGCCCGGCCAACUGAGUGAAGGACCUGUGACCGUCGCACCUCUGUUUCUGACUUGGUCCCAGCAUCAGACUUGUAGGCUGCUUGUGGCUGCUCUUCUCAAUUCCAGGUCUGUGACUGGCCUCUCAGCCCCAGAGACAAAAAGGGCACUUCCCAAACCACCCUCACCCAGAAGGGCAGGAGUGUGGAUGGCUGCAUCCUGGCUGCUACCUGCCUCACUAUGCCGCUUGGUUAAUUAACUUGGAACCUGAGCUUCCCGGUCCACACCCCCAAAACCAGGGUUAUGCCAGUAGUCCUGCGGGGCAACAGGAGGGACUCAUAGGACAAUGUCUUUUCCUUUUACAACUGAAGGGAAGCAUACACCUCUGGCUUAUAUUCCUGUGUCAUAGGACUUACAUUCUAUGGUAGGGUUCCCUGACAGCUGCUUGUAAAGGGGCAAAAGGGGACGGAGAAUGUCUGGGAUGAGGCUAGAAGAGGAGAAUGGGGCCUGGAUGUCCAGCAGCUUCAUCGGAACACUUAGACUCUCUCUUCUCAACAGCUCUUCUCACUCUACGUCUUCCAUUCAGACCAUCUGCCCCGGUGACAGUCCAGACCUUGAGGAGUCACUGUUUUUAUUAAGUGCCAGCCCUGUGUUUACGACUUCGGAUUCGCUAUGAUUCUCUCAACACCCUGUAGCAAUCUGGGACACUCCCGACUGGCUCUUCCUCCCUCCCUGAUCUGAGCUGGCAGAGUCAGUCCGCCAACAGCUGUGGAGGAGGGCUAUGCACUGGGAAACUGACAGCAAGGGCACUGAAUCUUCUGCUCCAGACCCUCCUUCUCCGAGAAGCUUCCAAGAGGGCAGGUGUCAAGCGCUGUGAGUGCCCAUGCGGGGUCCUCCAGGGAGGAGGGAGAUGAAUGUCUCUGUGAGAUGCUCAGGAAAUUGUCCCCACCCACCAACCUGGCUGUGGGGCACCUCCACGCCGUGCUGCACACUCUGCUGAUCUUCAUGUGAUCACCGCCCUGCAGGCACUAACCCUCUGACCCUUUUGAAAAGGAGAGAUCAGGUCUUGGGAAAGGUGGUGAUUUUCCCACAAGCAGCUGCAGGUGGUCCUCACACUCAGGUCUUUCGGCUUCCAGGCCGUAGGAAGGUCUCUCUAGAAUACACCAGUACUCACUGAACACAUACUAUGGGCAGAGACUGCUCUGGGUACCGGGGACAUAGCCAUGGACAGAACAGACUUCUCCAAAGGCCCUUAAGGCCAGGGCACUGGGCCUGCGUACUCCAUCUGCAGAGUCUGUGGUUAGACUGACCAGACGCCCAGGUCUGGACUGGAAGCCCCGCACUGCAAUGAGGAACUGUGGCUGCUCUUUCUUCUCCCGUCCAGGUCUGGGACUAGCCUCUCAGCCCCAGAGACACAAGGGUACUUCCCAAACCCACCCCACCCAGUGACACUGGGCCAUCUCAGAAAACACAGCAAGUCCCUGUAGUCCCAGCCCACCACCAUGGCACUGUCUGCCAGAAUCCACACCUGCCUCCUCUUCCCCCACUUACUGACUCCUGGGGAGAGACAGACAAGUCCCUGGCCUUUAUGACACUAACUGCAAUAAGUCAGACAGCUGCAGCAACUCAAUGUCAUCAGAGGUGACAAAAAAUGUAGGGAGCGUGUCUAUGAGGAAGUUUUCAUAUUUGCACAGGACAGCUGCUCACACUACAAGCUUCCUCUUCCUUUUGUUUAAGAAGGGUGAAUCCUGUCCCAGUUACUCCAAACCUCUGCAAUGCCGUUCUGUGAAGUCCUAAUCCAACUGCACCAAAGGCCAGAGAGACCUCAGCUCGGCCCCAGCUGCCCUGCUUACUGUCCUCCUCACAAGAUCAUUUUGAGGUUGAAACUGAAGGAUUAAGCUCACAUAGGCACCACAUGCAUUUUAAAGCUUUUCCAUUCUCCAUCCUCUCCGCUCCAGUAGCAUUGUUUGUGCUCCUGUUCACACUUGACAUCUGGUCCUGGUCAUCUGUGGACCCCUUUACCUUCACACUGUCCCCAGAGCCUGCUCAGCUGCCCAGCCCCAGUGCCUGGUCCAGAGGUCAGUUCACAGCAAGCACUCAGCAUUCAUUCUGGAUCUGUGUCUCCUAAAAUGCAGUCCCGGAACAGCACUGCUACCCAGCCAUCUGAGGCCAGUGCAUUUGUCAUGUAAGACAGGCACCAAAAGAUGGCACAUCCUUACCUAGAAAUCAGUCCUUUAUGUAUCAGGGAGAAAGACACCAAGAGUGUUCACUCUGAACCCUGACUCCAGUCAGUUACAGCAGGAAAUACUUUUUCAAACCUUGUAACUGUGGCUGAAAAGCCUUGACACAAGUUGGGGAGGACACAAAGCAACUCUUCAAAGUUUGGAGGCUUCACACAGUUCAAAGCCCAGUGUGGAUCUGGAGUGCCUUCACCAAGGACUAGUUGGUCUGUGAGUGGCUCUCUUGUAUUUUACUCAAACAAGCUCCAAAAUCCUCCUGCAUUCAGGUAGUCACAAGCCACCACUUUUUAGAGAUGAGGAAACUGUUACUCAGAAGGUUUAAGUGACCCAGAGGUAGUAAGUGGAGAAUUGGACACAUGCUUGCCUGCGUAUACACACACACACACACACACACACACACACACACACACACUCCACCCAGUGUGAGAAUGGGUAGAAUCAGACCUUCAAUCCCAGUCACUCACAUAUCUGAAGACACCUGUUUUUCUGUCUAUAUCCAUCUGCCCUGCAAAUCUAUACCCUCCUCUUAGUAUUUGGUGGAUGGAAACUUCAAUUUCUCUCGCCAGCUCUCUUCUUUGACAAGAGAAUCGAGCCAUCCUGGCUAUCUUUCUGCAGCUUAAAAAAAAAAUUUUUUAAAUAAAAAUAAACCACACACACAGAUAUUGUGCACACACCCCCUAGUGGCCACAUGUGGAAACACAUGCCCUACAAAGUGUGCGUUGGGAUUGAUAACCGCUUGGGUUUGAGAAGGAAACCCCAGAUAGGACUGCAACUCCAUCCUAGGAAGGAGGAUGGUGAAAGAUGAUCUUAUGUGGAAGACAGUGAAAAAGGAAAAAGACAAAGAAAAGGUGGGGGAGAAAGAAAAGUGUGAUGGAGAAAAAGAAGGCAAGAGAACAAACGGAAGAUUAAAGAAAGAUGUAUAGGAGGACAGAGAGAAAACAAUAAGACAAGCUUAAAGGAGGGAUGUUUCUCAGUGUGAAGUCUUUCUCUGUUUCAAAUAUAACUACAAAAAGUAAUAAUGGAAAAUAACAUGAAUUGGUGUGUCCAGGGUCAGCUGGCCAUCCUGUAUACAGGAGGUGGUGACAGGGUCCAUAUCUGACCCCAUCACUGCCUGACUGGGUAAUCUUUUCAGAAUCCAAAGCUUUCUCUGUCCCUAUUUCUGAGCUUGUAAAGGGUAGCUAAUAGCAGUUGUUCUUUCCUAUUUUAUUGAGGUCUGAUGAGAACAAUAAAGAUUUGCAGAGAAAACCCUGAAAAGUGCUCUAAGCUCUUGGACAUAACCAUCACAGAAAUGUGUUUUAUUAUUUUUCUCAAUGCAACAGAAACCCUCCAUCCUUUGCUUCCUGGUCUAAAAGGUUAUAUGUGAUGCUGGAGUGCCAAAGUACUUGCUGUAUUUCAACAAUGCAUCAAGUUAUCACCACCUCUAGUGCUUUGGAAGAUGCUGUGAUUUGGAAAGCGUUGUCGAAAUGUAAAACAUUAUUGCCACAGUAGUAAAAAUAUCUGUGUCCAUCUCCUAGCCCACUAUUUCUUGUCAAGAUGCAUAGAGAUACACACAAAACAAUUCUGUCCACAUUAGUAGAAUGUUUUACAGCAAAACCGCACAUACCUCAGUUUGGCAAAAUAAUCAGAAACAAAAUAUUUCUGUCAGUGGCAAGUUAGCCUUCAUGUCCGAACAGCUACCGAGGGGGUGAUAAAGUGUUUAGUGUCCACUGCAAAUGUGAAGACAUCCAGGUCUCAUAUAAAAAUGCCAGUUUGGGCUUCUGUUUUUCUUAAGAAAGGAAGAAACAAACUUACAAAUGGGCUGUGGAAAAAGAAUGGACAUAAAGCUGAGAUUGUGGACUUAAGUUAGAUCAUUGAAUUACAAGAGAAACAUUUUUUCUCAAAAUUAAA